GACGAACGCUGGCGGCGUGCUUAACACAUGCAAGUCGAACGGAAAGGCCCUGCUUUUGUGGGGUGCUCGAGUGGCGAACGGGUGAGUAACACGUGAGUAACCUGCCCUUGACUUUGGGAUAACUUAAGGACACUGGGGCUAAUCCAGGAUAGGAGAUCCUGCUGCAUGGUGGGGGUUGGAAAGUUUCGGCGGUUGGGGCUGGGCUCGCGGCUUAUCAGCCUGUUGGUGGGGUUGUGGCUUACCAAGGCUUUGACGGGUGGCCGGCCUGAGAGGGUGACCGGCCACAUUGGGACUGAUAUGCGGGCCAGACUCCUACGGGAGGCAGCAGUGGGGAAUAGUGCACAAUGGGCGGAAGCCUGAUGCAGCAACGCCGCGUGCGGGAUGACGGCCUUCGGGUUGUAAACCGCUUUCGCCUGUUACGAAGCGGGAUUGACGGUAAUGGGUAAAGAAGCACCGGCUAACUACGUG
rnacentral:rRNA from 1 species